AUGCCUUGGAAAAUGGAGCCGAAGAAGGACGUGAUUACCUGCGAAAAGUCUGGGGGAGCUGGAAGUAAGCUGCGAUCCCGGAAUGUCCGAAUGGGGAAACCUAACAUGAUUUAUCUCAUGUUAUCUAUAAGUGAAUACAUAGCUUAUAAGAAGGGAACCUAGGGAACUGAAACAUCUUAGUACCUAGAGGAAAAGAAAAUAAUAAUGAUUCUGUUAGUAGUGGCGAGCGAACACGGAACAGGCCAAACCGUUCUACGGGGCGGGGUUGUAGGACUUUUGUUAGAGUUACAAAGUUAUUGUAUAGUAGAAGCUAUUGGGAAGUAGCGGCAUAGAGGGUGAUACCCCCGUAUACGAAAUGCAAUAACCUCGAGAAAGUAUCCUGAGUACGGCGAAACACGUGAAAUUUUGUCGGAAUCUGCCAAGACCACUUGGUAAGCCUAAAUACUACCAUUUUACCGAUAGUGAACCAGUACCGUGAGGGAAAGGUGAAAAGCACCCCGAGAGGGGAGUGAAAGAGAUCCUGAAACCAUAUGCUUACAAGAAGGUAGAGCCCGUUAAUGGGUGAUACCGUGCUUUUUGUAGAAAGAGCCGGCGAGUUACUAUUGCAUGCGAGGUUAAGUCGAUAUAGAUGGAGCCGUAGUGAAAGCGAGCCUUAAUAGGGCGUUUAGUAUGCAGUAGUAGACACGAAACCGGGUGAUCUAGCCAUGAGCAGGUUGAAGUUAGGGUAAAACCUAAUGGAGGACCGAACCAGUAUUCGUUGAAAAGACUUUGGAUGACUUGUGGCUAGCGGUGAAAUUCCAAUCGAACCCGGAGAUAGCUAGUUCUCCCCGAUAUAUCUUUAAGGAUAGCGUUAUGUGAAUUGUUGUGGAGGUAGAGCACUGAAUCUAUGAUGGCUGCACCUAGCGGUACUGAUUAGAAUUAAACUCCGAAUGCCAUAACUUGUGCAUAGCAGUCAGAACAUGGGUGAUAAGGUCCAUGCUCGUGAGGGAAACAGCCCAGAUCGUCAGCUAAGGUCCCUAAGUGUAAACUAAGUGUGUAAGGAUGUGGAACUGCACAGACAGCUAGGAUGUUGGCUUAGAAGCAGCCAUCAUUUAAAGAGUGCGUAACAGCUCACUAGUCGAGUGAUUCUGCGCCGAAAAUGUACCGGGGCUUAAGUUUACCACCGAAGCUACGGAUUGUACGCAAGUACAGUGGUAGGGGAGCGUUCCAAGGGUGAUGAAGUCAGACCGUAAGGACUGGUGGAGCGCUUGGAAGUGAUUAUGCCGGCAUGAGUAACGUUUGGAAGUGAGAAUCUUCCAUGCCGUUUGACCAAGGUUUCCUGGGCAAGGUUCGUCCACCCAGGGUUAGUCAGGACCUAAGACGAGGCCGACAGGCGUAGUCGAUGGACAACAGGUUGAUAUUCCUGUACCAGUUAAUUAGUGAUGGAGUGACGGAGAAGGAUAGUAUAUCCCGGGUGCUGGUUGUCCCGGGCUAAGCACAAAGACGGCAACAUUGGCAAAUCCGUGUUGUAUUAACGUUGAAGUGUGAUGGGGAGUGAACGGUUCGCCUAGUAACGAAGUAUAUGACUCCACGCUUCCAAGAAAAGCUUCUAACAUUAAUAAUUAACUGCCUGUACCUAGAACGAACACACGUGGUCAAGGAGAAAAUCCUAAGGCAAGCGAGAUAACUGUAGCUAAGGAACUCUGCAAAAUAACUCCGUAACUUCGGAAGAAGGAGUGCUCAUCUUUGAUGAGCCGCAGUGAAGAGGGAGGGGCAACUGUUUAACAAAAACACAGCUCUCUGCUAAGUCGCAAGACGAUGUAUAGGGGGUGACACCUGCCCAGUGCCGGAAGGUUAAGAGGAGAAGUCAGCGCAAGCGAAGCUUUGAAUUGAAGCCCCGGUGAACGGCGGCCGUAACAAUAACGGUCCUAAGGUAGCGAAAUUCCUUGUCAGGUAAAUUCUGACCCGCACGAAAGGUGUAAUGAUCCCUUCGCUGUCUCGGCUGCAGACUCGGUGAAAUUUUAGUACCGGUGAAGAUGCCGGUUACCCGCAACUAGACGGA
rnacentral:rRNA from 1 species